GAUUUUAAUGGAGGUGAUCUUUAGACAAAGCCUUGAAAAUGGUCAAUUCUGAGGCACAUCCCCAGGGAAGCAGCUCACUGCAUUCACCUGGGGGUUCCGAGCCCUCCCACCCUCUACCACUGCUCACUCCCAAUGCCUGGUGUCUCCCUAGAGAAAUAAAGUUCUAUCAAUCAAACACCUCAACUCUGAACUCAGUUACAUAACACCAAAUUGCAAAGCUUAUAGUAGCCACCUGUUCACAUAGCAAUGGAUGGUUAAGUAGCGUGUUUUCCAAACCCUUGGAUUCACCAUCAGAAAAUCGAGACCCCGUAAGAAAACGGCAGGUUUCCAGCUUUCCAAGGGAUAUCAUCUCCACCUGAAACCAGCGAUGUAUGCUCAGAGCCUUUGGCUCAGGUCUCCCAAGCACGUCAUUAUUAUCCUCAUGGAUUUGGGAAAUUACAUGUUCUCUAAUAAUAACCCAUGAAAGGAAUGCACAAAUAGAAAUAGAGAGAAGUGACUUGCCACAGCCCUUUUAAGCAGUUAGUGACUGUGUAAGCUCAGCUGUUAUUAGCUGAUAGAAUUAGAUUUAGUCUACUGGGCCUCACUGAAUAAAAAUGAGAGAAUUUCCCAUUAAAAUGUAUGUUCCAGGCUCUUGAAAAAGUCAGAAGGUCUGACAAUGCUGGGCCCACAUUUCUGUGUGGCAACCGUCCAGAGCGGAGCAGUGAUGGCUGUGUUUGAAAGCGGCACAAAUUCUCCAGGUCGCAGUAGUUCCUAUCACGCCCACUUUCCUUGUUUCCCAUACUGGCCUUGUCCAUGGAAGCAUGUGAGUUUGCAACCUUCACUAAGCUUUACGUCCGUCCCUGCUUCUCCUUCCCUCUUCCUUCCCAGCUCCUCUCAGCAUAAAAUCCUUGGAAACUCUCCUUUCUGUUGCAAACUGGCCUAAACCAAUCUCAUGCUUCACAAUUAUUGGAUUCUUUUUGGUAUCAACAACUAGAGUCAGAGGUAGGUGAAGUCUGUAACAGAAUGUGCAUGAGUCGCCUGGGAUCCCAUUAAAAUACUGACUUUGAUUCAGUAGGUCUGGCGUGGGCCCGAUUCUGUAUUUCUAACAAACUCCUAGGUGAUAACUACGCUGCUGGUGGCAUCCACCACUGUGAGUGGCAAACAUGUAAGUUUCUGCCCCCAAAACUUGGCUCCCAGGUUCUAUCAGAAACAGGCCUCAAACCAAAGUCUGCAAAGGAACAAAAGAGGCGUACAACCUGCUCUAUAAACUGGAUGAACUCCCCAAACUUUGCCCUCUUAGUUGUUCUGACCGUGCCCUUGCAUACGCCAAAGUGACGGUGUUCUGGAAGCGGAGAUUCUGUUCAUUUUAGAGGAUGAAUCAGGCUAUCGCAGGAUCCACCGCCAGAUAAAGGGCAGUUUCAGAGUCAAGCUUCAGGCACCACUGUGAAGAGUACAGACUGCUGAGUUCCCUGGACUGCGGUGCUCUGUGCAAUUACAAGAGGGGUUUUUAUAAUAUGAGAUUUCUAGCAUCCACAUAUUUUGAACACCAGUAAUCUCAAUGGUAACCUAUUAUAACAACAUGCUAAUAUCUGACGCUCUGCCGCCCACUGGCGAUAAAGAAAGCUGAGCAUUUACGGCAACCAUCCCUGCAGGGAACCAGCCCUGCAAAGUGUAUCCCAAUUAGGGCAAUUAGCAGCACCUAUUUUUAUCAUACUGUCUUUGGUAAUAUAUCUUAAAUUACAGACUACAUAGCACACUCUUAGUAAGAAGUAGGUGCUCCAAACUGGAUUCUUCCCGUAAUCUAAAGUAGGAGGAAUUAAUUUUGCAUUUGCGAGAGACCACUGUGUGGCGGGUAGGGGAGAACGACCCCUUCCAGCGAGACGCGGACCCUUCCUCUGCCUCUUCCUAAGCAAGCCCUGGGGGUUCCCUCAGCCAAAGCCCUGGUACCCUCCACACACUCAUUUUUCCAAUUUACUUCUCUCUGGGCCUUUUUGCCGCCAUGUGUUCAGCACAAGGUACUCUCAUGUCACCUCAUGAAAAACAGAAACAGAAAAUAAGAGGCAGAAGCAGUCCUAGAGAUGGCCGACGCCGGUGGGUUUUCAAUCUUAGCCUUGAAAAGCCUUUCGCAGACCUAACAUUGCCCUGCAGUGCAAACAAACAGUUCAUGCAAGAAAAAGCUGUUCUCCACGGUGGCGGCGGGGCAGGGGAUGAAUGUGGAUGUAAGGAAAACUGAAACACAACCUUUUCCCACUCUCCCUGUCCCGAGACCUUUGUCCUUGAAGCGCUUCCAAAGGACACCGUUUAAUAACACUAACCUGAUCUGAAGGCACUCUUCCAUCGCCCGUUUUGCAGAUUAGGAGGCUGAGCUGUUGAAGGGGUAAGCAAUUUGUCCAAGCUCACAUGGUGAGAUGGGGCAGAACCUUACCUCUCCUUCGGCCGCAGGUCAGGUUCCAGGACCAGGAUGUAAGCAAGCGAGAAGACGCACACUCCGGUCGGGAGACGGAUGAAGCACCCUGGCGCUCAGUGGGAUGGUGUCCAUCUCCCCAGUUCCAGAAGAAAACGUCUCUCUCUGCAGUACCUGGCGUCACCUGAAAACCAAAAUAAGGAUUCUUCACUCUCACCGAUGCCAUCCAGCACUGUAAAAUGUACUGCCAGCAAGACAUACUGUAGCUCGUCAUGGCCAAGAUGACACGGCUGCUGCCCAAAGAUGGAGCGUUUUCUGACUUUCCUCCUCGUACCAGUUCUGCAGCUCCUGAUAUUAAGAGCUGCCAUCUUUUUCCAGCGGGAUUCUUCCCAUUCAUCCUUGACAAAAGAAGACUUUUGCUGAAUGCACUGUGGUUCUCACAAGCUAAGUGACUGCCUGGGGAAUCGCAGCUGAAGGUCAGGAGCCAGUUCCCACUUUCUACCUCCCAACACGCCUGGGCCAAUCUCCGUCACUCGGGGCUUCUCCCUUGGGCUCCCUGUGCACUGAACAGGAUACUGGCAAUUCAGACCAGUCCAGAAUGGAUACAAAAGCAAUAUAUAUUAGCGUCUCAUUGCAACCACAGUGCCAACGUAAGGAUUUAAUUUACUCUCUUAAGUUUGGAAUCUCAUGUAAGCGCUUGAGCAGUACUUGGGACACAGAGCUACAACUUUUUCGCAUCUCUCUCUCUGCUUCGAUUCUGCUUUGCACCACAGUUGCCUACGUUAUAGUUGAGUUUGGGAGCAGGCGUUGGAGUCUGAGAGUACUGUGUGCAAAUUUCAAUUCUGACAAUACUAUUUGCAUUCCACAGAAACUACUAUGAAUCCCUCUCAGGAGGGGGAUAAAUCAACAUUUAUUGACCAGUUACCUGGUUCUGGGUCAAGCACCUUUGAAUCCUCACAAUUCUAAGAGUUAUCAAAGUGGGAGACAAAGAAUGGACAUGGUCCAGGGUUGAAAUUGAGAAGAACUUUCAACUGGACACCAAGAGUUGAGACAGAAUCUCCUGGAAGCCAGGAGCUGGGGAAGAAAGAUGGGGAGGGACCUUGUCAUCUGCUCAAAUGGCCAAAAUCAGGUCACCUUCUCCUUUUGCUAUGGGAAAGGAAUCAGAUGGGAGGAAAGGAGUAGUAACUGCCAUGUUAUCCUCAGUAAGUACCAGCUCACAGUUCCCUAUAGCCUGGGCACCACAGUUACAUUCUCUACCUCUCUGUACCUCCAUUUAUUCCACCUUAAAUGGACAUCAUAAAGAGUAUGUAACUUCUGGUUUGUGGCAAGGAUUACCCGUGUUAAUGUAUGCAAAGCCAUUCAAUAAACAUUUACUAUCAUUAUCAUUACUUCCUAAACUGGAGUAGAUAAUGAGGUUGCCCCAUGCAGUUCUAGCCUUAUGAUGAAGACAGAAAGUGUCAUUUAGAUAGUGAGACACUGGGGACAAGGGAGAGCUCUCCUCCAAAAUAUCAGCUUUGCUGGAUGGCAGCAGGAGUCAUUCAAGAUUAACCUGGCUAGAGAGCAUAUCCCAAUCCCCUGAACAAAGCAACGGACUCAGGGAUACACACUCCAUCUAAGUUCCUCCAGUGAGGUGCCAACCAGCAAGGUCAGAGGCUCCACCUGUCCUACCCACUGCUGCAUCUCCUACCACUCAUUUGAGGAAUGUUAAAUGAAUCUUGGGACUGAGGAAGAAAGAAGCACUCCCUUUCCAUUGGGGUUGCUAAACUGCAAUAUAAGUAUUGAGCUACUGGUGGCCAUCUUCUUCCCAUGAAGGGAGAACCUGCUUGAAAAUAAAUCCAAACCAGAGGACAAAAGAGCCAUAUGAAAACGCUGUUGCAGCCAUAU